UACGUAGGGCGCAAGCGUUAUCCGGAAUUAUUGGGCGUAAAGAGCUCGUAGGCGGUCUGUCGCGUCGAUCGUGAAAACUUGGGGCUUAACCCUGAGCUUGCGGUCGAUACGGGCAUGACUGGAGUUCGGCAGGGGAGACUGGAAUUCCUGGUGUAGCGGUGAAAUGCGCAGAUAUCAGGAGGAACACCUGCGGUGUAGACGGCUUACUGGACGGUAACUGACGCUGAGGCACGAAAGCGUGGGUAGCAAACAGG
rnacentral:rRNA from 1 species